UUGCCUUCAGUCAAUGUGGAGCGUGAGUGUUGCCUACCGUUUAGACGGCGGGUUGUGUACUUACAUGCGAUCGAAGCUUUGUCGUCAUUGUUGUGUUUAUCCGUGGCAUAUGUUUCUCGCUUGGGCUUAUUGUUGUUUGUGUGUUUGCUCGCCGGCUUGCUUGUUUGGGCAGGUCUGGAGCAGUGAAGUGAAAACAAGUUUUGCGCCCCAACUUCAAUGCGCCCGCCUAGUUGGUAGGUGUUUUGGACUACAAUCGUCGUUGUCGUUGUUGUUGUUCGCAGAUUGAACGCAACUCGGUUUACCUGCGCCUAGUGGCUCGUUCGUUGCUCUUUCUCUUGCUGCUCCAAACUUGCCAAUGCACUGUGUUUAUGUUGUUGCAAUUGUUUUUGCCGUUAUUGCUGCAAAUUUGMAAUCUGUGCCUUUUCGGUGCGGCUGCCACUGCUAUUACUGAGUUUUGUGGUUUUUUCAACAGUUUCCAAAAUAUUGCUACUCAUUAACGGCGGCAAUAAUACUUGACAAAACAAUGGCAACAAAACAAUGGCAACUUGCUGACUUGUGGAAAAACGUGCAAACAGCGAACGUGUUGGAAAAUCUGAAGCAGUUCACCGCUAGCGGCAAACGUACACCAGUGUGUCGGCCGACUGCAUGCAUACAAUCGCACUGAGUGCUUUAAGGCCUUAAAUUAUUGGCCAGCAAACCACGCCGCCGGAGUUGCCAAUUUACGGUGAUCCCUACACGGAAACGCGGAUCUAGUUUUACCAAAGGGGAAUCCGACAUUCCUGUUGGACAGAAAAAAAAAAAAAAAAAUUGCAGCUGCUGCAGCCGCUGGAUCGCGAUGAAGAGAAUCUGAGUCACAUUGUCUUUCAGGUGAGUGCACGAAUAUGACCACAAGCUAAACUACUAGAACAAAGUUGACAUGGAACCAGAACGCAUGCAAUGCAGCGCGCUGAAGGCGGUUGGCUAGCGGUAAAAAGUGUAAUGCGAUAACAAGAGCAACAACGCGAAAUAUACACGCGCAAGUGUUACUGUGUAUAUGUGUAGACGAAAAAAGCCCACGGUGGCUUGCCGCUGUGAAUUUUUAUUUGGUGAAAUGCAAUUUUUUUAUGGUGAAAUUUUACAAUUGCACGCCACGUAAUUUGCCGGCCGGCCAACAAAAGAAUCUUAAGCGCUUAACUUAUAAACAGAAAAAUGCAAGCGCUUUAUGGUUACUUUACUUACGCCACAUUUUCUUAAGCACAUCUUCUGCUUAUACAAACCACCAACAGAGCGCUUCCCAGUUUCUACGAUUGUGUGUGUGAUUACCUCUGGCUGCUUUAUUUAUUUGAAAGUAUUGAGCGAUUUGAUUUGUUUUUGCUUAUUUUUGGUAUUUUUUGGUUUCUUAAUUAUAUUUUAAUUUUUUUCUCAUUUCGCUGCACCACGGGUUUCCUGUUCGAUUCGCAACGUAACCGACAAACGACAUAGCAUUCCGCUUAUUGUGCGUGUAUCUGAUGUCGACGACAAUGCGCCGCGCUUCAUGAACACCCUAUGGGGUCACCGUGUCGAAGG